UGUAAUUGCAGUACUUAACCUACUCUUCUUUUACAGAGAGUAAUGUAACAUUUAUUGACAUUAUCUGUUGGUGUAAUGACACCAUUUGCCCUAAUGACUUAGUAAUAAAAUUAUUACUGUUAAAUUAUCCUUCAGGUAUGUCACAUGGAGCACUUAACUGAACAAACUUCGUUCUCAGCUAGAGUUUGAUGCAAGCUAUCGAACUGUUCACCAUUCCACCGCCUUACAGAACCACCCACUGUAACUGUUUUGAAGCCAUAGUUGCUUGCACCAUUCUCCCAGAGGUGGACUUGGGGAUGUAUUUGGGGGAGGAGUGAAACAGUCGGUCAGAACUAGUCGUACAGCAAAAAUUUGAGGGAGCCAUCUGGAGGUGGCAUUGAGGCAGCAACAACAUACAUCACAACCUGUCCGUGGAAAUGGCAUGGCAAGCCGUUCCACAGGACUACAUCCAGCAUCUCUACGAUCGUCUCCAUAGGAGAAUAGCAGCCUGCAUUGCUGCGAAAGUUGGAUAUACACUGUACUAGUGCCGACAUUGUGCAUGCUCUGUUGCCUGUGUCUAUGUGCCUGUGGUUCUGUCAGUGUGAUCAUGUGAUGUAUCUGACCCCAGGAAUGUGUCAAUAAAGUUUCCCCUUCCUGGGACAAUGAAUUCACGGUGUUCUUAUUUCAAUUUCCAGGAGUGUACAUCACAACCUGUCCGUGAUGCGUCCGGCGCCAUCACCACAUACAGUUAAAUUGUUGGCUACCCUCACCACAUGUGGGGGUAUCAGCGACUCCGUAGCAGCAUCCGGGCCCUUCGUGGACGCCGUCCAUGUGUGCUGGACCAUCACAGGUGCAUUGGUCAUACAAUUUUGAUGCAAAAGUGAACCUGAAAACAUGAUAAAAUGUGGACGCCUCUGGAGAAAGCUCAGUGUGUGUGGCCCGGUAGAUACAGACGAUACCUGAUGCCCAAAUGCAACGAACCUUUCAGACUUGGAAUACAUCAUUUAUGGAAACAGAAUUUUGCAGAUGGAACCAAGGGUAGACAGUGGCCUCUGAGCUGUUUCUUUACUUACUUCUGUGCCUUUGUUGAAUUACAGUAUCAUGGUGAAAGUUCGUCAUGCAAUUUUGAUGCGAAAUGGAACCUGAAAAUCUGAAAAAAUGUGGAUGCUACUGGAUAAAGCUCAAUGUGUGUGACCUGGUAGAUACAGACGGUACCUGAUACUCAAAUGCAAUGAUACUUUCGGACUUGGAAUACAUCAUUUAUGGAAACAGGCAGAGUUCUCCAUAAAAAGUGGCUGGUCACCCAUGAGUUUCAGAUUCCAAUGUGGACAGGGUACGGCAGGUGUUCGCAAGGAGUUCUAUAAAAUCGGCAUGUAUGGCAGCCAGAGCGUUGGAAAUGAGAAGAUCGACAUUGCACAAUGUCAUGCAUAAGAGGUCAUACAAUUUUGAUGCAAAAGUGAACCUGAAAACAUGAUAAAAUGUGGACGCCUCUGGAGAAAGCUCAGUGUGUGUGGCCCGGUAGACACAGACGAUACCUGAUGCCCAAAUGCAACGAACCUUUCAGACUUGGAAUACAUCAUUUAUGGAAACAGGUCAUGCAAUUUUGAUGCGAAAUGGAACCUGAAAACCUGAAAAAAUGUGGAUGCUACUGGAUAAAGCUCAAUGUGUGUGACCUGGUAAAUACAGACGAUACCUGAUACUCAAAUGCAAUGAUCGUUUCGGACUUGGAAUACAUCAUUUAUGGAAACAGGCAGAGUACUCCAUAAAAAGGCUCUGGUCACCCAUCGGUUUCAGAUUCCAAUGUGGACAGGGUACGGCAGGUGUUCGCAAGGAGUUCUAUAAAAUCGGCAUGUAUGGCAGCCAGAGCGUUGGAAAUGAGAAGAUCGACAUUGCACAAUGUCAUGCAUAAGAGUACUCAAGACAUUUACAGUGGGGUGUGCAAUUGAGAACAGUUCUCCAUCUACCCCUCAGUGCUCACCAGAAUUAUCCAAAGUGGGGCACUAUGCCACUUCCAAGAAGCAGGCCAAAGAUGUCCUGGUAAGCAGCACAUUGUCAAUGCUGCGAGGCAAACAAACAGCAAUGAGGAUGGCAAGUUGAGCCAAUAUGUUGCA